CCCGGCACAAGCGGUGGAGCAUGUGGUUUAAUUCGUACGCAACGCGAAGAACCUUACCAGGGCUUGACAUCCCUUGAAGCAGCUAGAGAUAGCUGUGUCCUUCGGGACAAGGAGACAGGUGGUGCAUGGUUGUCGUCAGCUCGUGUCGUGAGAUGUUGGGUUAAGUCCCGCAACGAGCGCAACCCCUAUGGUUAGUUGCCAGCAAGUAGCGUUGGGCACUCUAGCCAGACUGCCGGUGAUAAAUCGGAGGAAGGUGGGGACGACGUCAAAUCAUCAUGCCCUUUAUGUCCUGGGCUACACACGUACUACAAUGGCCGUUACAACGGGAAGCGAAGGAGCAAUCCGGAGCAAAUCCCUUAAAGGCGGUCCCAGUUCAGAUUGUGGGCUGAAACUCGCCCGCAUGAAGGCGGAAUUGCUAGUAAUUGCAGAUCAGCAUGCUGCAGUGAAUACGUUCCCGGGCCUU
rnacentral:rRNA from 1 species